AGUNGCGGACUGGUGAGUAACACGUAAGCAACCUGCCUAUCAGAGGGGAAUAACAGUGAGAAAUCAUUGCUAAUACCGCAUAAGCUAGUAGUAUCGCAUGAUAUAGCUAGAAAAGGAGCAAUCCGCUGAUAGAUGGGCUUGCGUCUGAUUAGCUAGCUGGUGGGGUAACGGCCUACCAAGGCGACGAUCAGUAGCCGGACUGAGAGGUUGAACGGCCACAUUGGGACUGAGAUACGGCCCAGACUCCUACGGGAGGCAGCAGUCGGGAAUAUUGCGCAAUGGAGGAAACUCUGACGCAGUGACGCCGCGUAUAGGAAGAAGGUUUUCGGAUUGUAAACUAUUGUCGUGAGGGAAGAAAUUGACAGUACCUCAGGAGGAAGCUCCGGCUAACUAUGUGCCAGCAGCCGCGGUAAUACAUAGGGAGCAAGCGUUAUCCGGAUUUAUUGGGUGUAAAGGGUGCGUAGACGGGAAAUUAAGUUAGUUGUGAAAUCCCUCGGCUUAACUGAGGAACUGCAACUAAAACUGAUUUUCUUGAGUACUGGAGAGGAAAGUGGAAUUCCUAGUGUAGCGGUGAAAUGCGUAGAUAUUAGGAGGAACACCAGUGGCGAAGGCGACUUUCUGGACAGUAACUGACGUUGAGGCACGAAAGUGUGGGGAGCAAACAGGAUUAGAUACCCUGGU
rnacentral:rRNA from 1 species